rnacentral:rRNA from 1 species
AUGCACGCUGGCGGCGUGCCUCCUACAUCCGAGCCGCGCGAACAGACGAGGAGCUUGCUCCUCUGACGUUAGCGGCGGACGGGUGAGUAACACGUGGAUAACCUACCUAUAAGACUGGGAUAACUUCGGGAAACCGGAGCUAAUACCGGAUAAUAUAUUGAACCGCAUGAUUACAUAGUGAAAGACGGUUUUGCUGUCACUUAUAGAUGGAUCCGCGCCGCAUUAGCUAGUUGGUAAGGUAACGGCUUACCAAGGCAACGAUGCGUAGCCGACCUGAGAGGGUCAUCGGCCACACUGGAACGGAGACACGGCUCAGAUGCCAACGGGAGGCAGUAGUAGGGAAGCUGCUGCGAUGGGCGAAAGCCUGACGGAGUAACGCCGCGUGAGUGAUGAAGGUCGUCGGAUCGUAAAACUCUGUGAUGAGGGAAGAACAAGUGUGUACGGAACUAUGCACGGCUUGACGGUACCUAGUCAGAAGGCCACGGCAAAGUACGGG